UACGUAGGUGGCAAGCGUUGUCCGGAAUUAUUGGGCGUAAAGCGCGCGCAGGCGGUCCCUUAAGUCUGAUGUGAAAGCCCACGGCUCAACCGUGGAGGGUCAUUGGAAACUGGGGGACUUGAGUGCAGAAGAGGAAAGUGGAAUUCCAUGUGUAGCGGUGAAAUGCGUAGAGAUGUGGAGGAACACCAGUGGCGAAGGCGACUUUUUGGUCUGUAACUGACGCUGAGGCGCGAAAGCGUGGGGAGCAAACAGG
rnacentral:rRNA from 1 species